rnacentral:rRNA from 1 species
AUAAGAGUUUGAUCCUAGCUCAGGAUGAACGCUGGCGGCGUGUUUAAGGCAUGCAAGUCGAAUGCGCGUAAUGGCGCAUGGCAAACGGGAGAGUAACACUUUGGUAAUCUACCUCUUACUCAGGAAUAACCUAUCGAAAGAUAGGAUAAUACCUGAUAGUCUUAUUAAACAUAAGUUUAAUAAGUAAAGAUUUUUCGGUAAGAGAGGAGCCUGAGGCUUAUCAGCUAGUUGGUAGGAUAACAGCCUACCAAGGCUAUGACGAGUAGCGGGUGUGAGAGCAUGACCCGUCUCACUGGGACUGAGACACUGCCCAGACACCUACGGGUGGCUGCAGUCAAGAAUCUUCCACAAUGCACGAAAGUGUGAUGGAGCGACGCCGCGUGAACGAUGAAGCCUUUAGGGGUGUAAAGUUCUUUUCUUAGUGAAAAAUUUUUGAUGUUAACUAAGGAAUAAGGGGCUGCUAACUACGUGCCAGCAGCAGCGGUAAUACGUAGGCCCCGAGCGUUAUCCGGUUUUAUUGGGCGUAAAGAGUCUGUAGGUGGUUUAUUAAGUCAAAUGUCAAAUAUCUCGGCUUAACCGAGAAAAGGUGUUUGAUACUGAUAGACUAGAGGACGGGAGAGGCAAGUGGAAUUGGUGGUGUAGUCGUUAUAAGCGUUAAUAUCACCAGGAACACCAAAUGCGAAGGCAACUUGCUAGAACGAUCCUGACACUGAGAGACGAAAGCGUGGGUAGCGAAUGGGAUUAGAUACCCCAGUAGUCCACGCUGUAAACGAUGAGCACUAAGUAUUGGAAGUAUCGACCCUUCCAGUGCUGUUAUAUUAAAGCUAACGCCUUAAGUGCUCCGCCUGGGAAGUACGGUCGCAAGACUAAAACUCAAAGGAAUUGACGGGGACCCGCACAAGCGGUGGAGCAUGUGGUUUAAUUCGAUAAUAAGCGAAAAACCUCACCAAGGCUUGACAUCAUGAUCAUAUCUCUAGGAAACUAGAGAGUCAGUUCGGCUGGAUCAAUGACAGGCGCUGCAUGGUUGUCGUCAGCUCGUAUCGUGAGAUGUACGGUUAAGUCCGGUAACGAGCGCAACCCCUGUCGUAUGUUAUAUACAUGCGAGACUGCCGUGGUUAACACGGAGGAAGGUGGGGAUAACGUCAAAUCAGCAUGGCCCUUACGCCUUGGGCUACACACGUGCUACAAUGGGGAGUACAAAGGGUUGCCAAAGUGCAAACUGGAGCUAAUCCUAAAAACUCUUCUCAGUUCGGAUUGAGGUCUGAAAUUCGACCUCAUGAAGUUGGAAUCGCUAGUAAUCGUGAAUCAGCACGUCACGGUGAAUACGUUCUCGGGUCUUGUACACACCGCCCGUCACGUCAAGAGAGUUGGUAAUACCCGAACUGCGAUGUUAUAUCGUAGGAAGGUAGGACCAGCAAUAGGGAUGAAGUCGUAACAAGGCAGGGGUAGCGGAAGCUGUUCCUGGAAUUACUCCUUU